AACGAACGCUGGCGGCAGGCUUAACACAUGCAAGUCGAGCGCCCCGCAAGGGGAGCGGCAGACGGGUGAGUAACGCGUGGGAAUCUACCCAUCUCUACGGAAUAACGCAUGGGAACGUGUGCUAAUACCGUAUACGUCCUUCGGGAGAAAGAUUUAUCGGAGAUGGAUGAGCCCGCGUUGGAUUAGCUAGUUGGUGGGGUAAAGGCCUACCAAGGCGACGAUCCAUAGCUGGUCUGAGAGGAUGAUCAGCCACACUGGGACUGAGACACGGCCCAGACUCCUACGGGAGGCAGCAGUGGGGAAUAUUGGACAAUGGGCGCAAGCCUGAUCCAGCCAUGCCGCGUGAGUGAUGAAGGCCCUAGGGUUGUAAAGCUCUUUCACCGGUGAUGAUAAUGACGGUAACCGGAGAAGAAGCCCCGGCUAACUUCGUGCCAGCAGCCGCAGUAACAC
rnacentral:rRNA from 1 species